rnacentral:rRNA from 1 species
UUGAACGCUGGCGGCAGGCCUAACACAUGCAAGUCGAACGGUAACAGGAAGAAGCUUGCUUCUUUGCUGACGAGUGGCGGACGGGUGAGUAAUGUCUGGGAAACUGCCUGAUGGAGGGGGAUAACUACUGGAAACGGUAGCUAAUACCGCAUAACGUCGCAAGACCAAAGAGGGGGACCUUCGGGCCUCUUGCCAUCGGAUGUGCCCAGAUGGGAUUAGCUUGUUGGUGGGGUAACGGCUCACCAAGGCGACGAUCCCUAGCUGGUCUGAGAGGAUGACCAGCCACACUGGAACUGAGACACGGUCCAGACUCCUACGGGAGGCAGCAGUGGGGAAUAUUGCACAAUGGGCGCAAGCCUGAUGCAGCCAUGCCGCGUGUAUGAAGAAGGCCUUCGGGUUGUAAAGUACUUUCAGCGGGGAGGAAGGGAGUAAAGUUAAUACCUUUGCUCAUUGACGUUACCCGCAGAAGAAGCACCGGCUAACUCCGUGCCAGCAGCCGCGGUAAUACGGAGGGUGCAAGCGUUAAUCGGAAUUACUGGGCGUAAAGCGCACGCAGGCGGUUUGUUAAGUCAGAUGUGAAAUCCCCGGGCUCAACCUGGGAACUGCAUCUGAUACUGGCAAGCUUGAGUCUCGUAGAGGGGGGUAGAAUUCCAGGUGUAGCGGUGAAAUGCGUAGAGAUCUGGAGGAAUACCGGUGGCGAAGGCGGCCCCCUGGACGAAGACUGACGCUCAGGUGCGAAAGCGUGGGGAGCAAACAGGAUUAGGUACCCUGGUAGUCCGGGCGGUAAAGGAUGUCGUCUUGGAGGUUGUGCCCGUGAGUCGUGGCUUCCGGAGCUAACGCGUUAAGUCGACCGCCUGGGGAGUACGGCCGCAAGGUUAAAACUCAAAUGAAUUGACGGGGGCCCGCACAAGCGGUGGAGCAUGUGGUUUAAUUCGAUGCAACGCGAAGAACCUUACCUGGUCUUGACAUCCACGGAAGUUUUCAGAGAUGAGAAUGUGCCUUCGGGAACCGUGAGACAGGUGCUGCAUGGCUGUCGUCAGCUCGUGUUGUGAAAUGUUGGGUUAAGUCCCGCAACGAGCGCAACCCUUAUCCUUUGUUGCCAGCGGUCCGGCCGGGAACUCAAAGGAGACUGCCAGUGAUAAACUGGAGGAAGGUGGGGAUGACGUCAAGUCAUCAUGGCCCUUACGACCAGGGCUACACACGUGCUACAAUGGCGCAUACAAAGAGAAGCGACCUCGCGAGAGCAAGCGGACCUCAUAAAGUGCGUCGUAGUCCGGAUUGGAGUCUGCAACUCGACUCCAUGAAGUCGGAAUCGCUAGUAAUCGUGGAUCAGAAUGCCACGGUGAAUACGUUCCCGGGCCUUGUACACACCGCCCGUCACACCAUGGGAGUGGGUUGCAAAAGAAGUAGGUAGCUUAACCUUCGGGAGGGCGCUUACCACUUUGUGAUUCAUGACUGGGGUG